ensembl:ncRNA C55H1.5 ncRNA
UGGUGAUGGAAAACUUUUUGAUACACAUAUUCGGCCAAAAGGCUUGUAAACAAAAGCGGUUGAUGAUUGAGAGCUAGUUGUGGUUUGAGAUGAGAUGAAGAGUGUUGUAUGUAUGCUUUUAAAAAAUUGAGGCUUUCCGGAUGAUGAGGAAGAAGGAGAAGAAGAAGGAGGGGAUCCAGAUGAGAAGAAGAAGAAGGACGAUGAUGACGAUGU